AUGAAAUACCUCUUCAAGUACGUCACCAAGGGUGCUGAUUACUCUAAGGUCAUGUUAGAAAGGUUAAAAAAAUUGACUAAAUCUGGUUGUCGUACAGUGGACGAGGUUCGGGAGUAUUUGAUAUGUCGUUAUAUAUGUGAGUAUGAUGCAUUAUGGCGCAUAUUUGGGUUUGAGAUACACUUUAAAAUGCCGUCGGUUCAAAGGCUCACUGUUCAUAUGCCUGGCAUGAAUACUGUCUACUAUCGUGCUGGUGCUGACCUCAUGAAAAUUGUUGGUUCUGACUUCUUGCAAAAGACUAUGCUUACCGAAUGGUUUGUUGCGAAUGAGAUGUUCGAAGAAGCUCGGUCAUUGACGUACUGUGAUUUUCCAAUUGCUUGGACAUGGGAUGUUAAAAGUAGGUCAUGGCAUCCAAGGGGUAGGGGUGAAAAGAUUGGCCGCGUAUAUUAUGUGCAUCCUUUGAGUGGUGAAUUAUAUUAUUUACGCAUGCUUUUGAUGAUUGUUAAGGGGGCUAGGUCUUUCAAAGAUCUCCGAACGUAUGCUGGUCGUCUUUAUCACACCUUUAAAGAGGCUUGCGCUGCGCGUGGUUUAUUAGGAGAUGAUAGUGAGUGGUACACAAUGUUUGAUGAAGCGGUUGUCUGGGGGUUUGGGCAUCGGCUUAGGCAGUUGUUUGUGACCAUGCUCAUGCAUUGUUCUAUCAGGGAUGAACUGGGUUUCUUUGAACGUUAUUGUGUUAGCAUGUACGAUGAUAUCCAGUAUAGGUUGCGUCACGCCCUGGGUAAUCGAAAUUAUGUUGUUCCUCCUGAGAGACUAAGAGAUAUGCUUCUCGAUGAGCUGGCCGACAUUUUUUUGAAACACGGUUCUGAUAUAAGAAACUUUAAUUUACCGCCCCGCUCUUGCGAAAGUGAACAAUCUGAUGAUAAUCGUCUAAUCCGUGAGGAAUUGUCUUAUGAUGCAUGUGCUUUAGCAGAACAAUCCUUACUUAUGUUCGAUAGUUUAAAUGAGGACCAGUUGUUUGCUUAUAAGACGAUUGUGGGGUGCGUACAGGCGGGGGAACCAGGCUUUUUUUUUUGUCUCUGGGUACGGCGGUACUGGGAAGACUUACCUAUGGAGUGCAAUAUGUGCUUUCCUUAG
rnacentral:rRNA from 1 species